rnacentral:rRNA from 1 species
UACGUAGGGUGCAAGCGUUAAUCGGAAUUACUGGGCGUAAAGCGUGCGCAGGCGGUUAUGCAAGACAGAUGUGAAAUCCCCGGGCUUAACCUGGGAACCGCAUUUGUGACUGCAUCGCUGGAGUACGGCAGAGGGGGAUGGAAUUCCGCGUGUAGCAGUGAAAUGCGUAGAUAUGCGGAGGAACACCGAUGGCGAAGGCAAUCCCCUGGGCCUGUACUGACGCUCAUGCACGAAAGCGUGGGGAGCAAACAGG